rnacentral:rRNA from 1 species
UGAGGAAUAUUGGUCAAUGGGCGUAAGCCUGAACCAGCCAAGUCGCGUGAGGGAUGAAGGUUCUAUGGAUCGUAAACCUCUUUUAUACGGGAAUAAAGUGGUCCACGUGUGGAUUUUUGCAUGUACCGUAUGAAUAAGCAUCGGCUAACUCCGUGCCAGCAGCCGCGGUAAUACGGAGGAUGCGAGCGUUAUCCGGAUUUAUUGGGUUUAAAGGGAGCGCAGACGGGGGAUUAAGUCAGUUGUGAAAGUUUGCGGCUCAACCGUAAAAUUGCAGUUGAUACUGGUUCCCUUGAGUGCAGUUGAGGCAGGCGGAAUUCGUGGUGUAGCGGUGAAAUGCAUAGAUAUCACGAAGAACCCCGAUUGCGAAGGCAGCCUGCUAAGCUGUAACUGACGUUGAGGCUCGAAAGUGUGGGUAUCAAACAGGAUUAGAUACCCUGGUAGUCCACACGGUAAACGAUGGAUACUCGCUGUUGGCGAUAUACUGUCAGCGGCCAAGCGAAAGCAUUAAGUAUCCCACCUGGGGAGUACGCCGGCAACGGUGAAACUCAAAGGAAUUGACGGGGGCCCGCACAAGCGGAGGAACAUGUGGUUUAAUUCGAUGAUACGCGAGGAACCUUACCCGGGCUUAAAUUGCAGACGAAUUACCUGGAAACAGGUAAGCCGCAAGGCGUCUGUGAAGGUGCUGCAUGGUUGUCGUCAGCUCGUGCCGUGAGGUGUCGGCUUAAGUGCCAUAACGAGCGCAACCCUCGUGGCCAGUUACUAGCAGGUAACGCUGAGGACUCUGGCCAGACUGCCAUCGUAAGAUGCGAGGAAGGUGGGGAUGACGUCAAAUCAGCACGGCCCUUACGUCCGGGGCUACACACGUGUUACAAUGGGAGGUACAGAAGGCAGCUACCCGGCGACGGGAUGCCAAUCUCCAAAGCCUCUCUCAGUUCGGACUGGAGUCUGCAACCCGACUCCACGAAGCUGGAUUCGCUAGUAAUCGCGCAUCAGCCACGGCGCGGUGAAUACGUUCCC